UCUAUUUUGUAUGUGGGAUGCUGCCACAGCAUGGCCUGAUGAGCAAGCAGCGUGUGGAUCCGUGCCUGGGAACUAAACCCAUGAACCUCAGGCCACCGAAGCAGAGCAUGCAAACUUAAUCACUAUGCCUCAAGGCUGGCCCUGGCCAACCUUUUCUAUAAAGAGCCAGACAGUAAAUAUUUUAGGCUUUGCAGACCACACGGUCUCUGUUGCAACUACUUGACUGCAAAGCAGCCAUAGACGGUAUGUAAACAAGCAGACACGGCUGUGUUCCAGCAACACUUUCUUUACAAAGACAGGUGGCCGACUGGAUUUGGCAUGAGACCAUAGUUUACAAUCCUUGCAAUAGAGUAUGGAAGAAAUGACACAAUAUGACUUCUGAGGCUAGGUCAUAAAAGGCCCUGAAGCUUCUGUGUGUGUCUGCUGGAACACUCACUCUUAGGAAGCUCCCUCUCGGAACCUAGGGACCAUCCUGGGAGAAGCCCAAGCCAGUGAGAGAGACCCCAUGUAGGUGGUCUGGUCAACAGCCUUGGCUGAGCCCAGCCUUCAUGUCAUCCCAGCCCAGGUCCUGGCAUGUGAGUGAAGAGGCCUCCAGAUGAUUCCAGUUUCCAGUCUUUCAAGUCACCCCUCAGCAUUGAGUCUUCCUGGCAGAGGCCCUGAACACAGCAGAGCAGAGACAACACAUCCCUACCACACCCUAUCUGAAUUCUGUGAGGAUAUAAAACUGCUGUUGUUUUCGUGCUGCUAGGUUUAGAGGUGGUUUGCUAUGUAGCAAGAGAUGGCUGGAGCAGAGGCUAACUAAGAAAACUCUAAGAGCACAUGUGGAAGGCUAAAAAUUUUAGAAAAGAAAACAGGAGUUGGAGAAUUCAAUGGAAAAUAUGCUCUUUUUUUCGAAAAACAAUUUAUGCUUUUUGUUACAGAAUUCUAGGUUGACGGUGCUGGCCUGGCUCUCCUCCCCAACCCUACCUGAGGGUGGGCUACCCUGAGAAGACAGGAAAGGGAGACCUGGACCUGCGGGGUGAGGACACCUAACACCUUCACAGCCCCCAACGGCUUGAGGAAGAGCCAUGCCUGGUCUUUAGGUUCCCCAGGCCCACUGACCAGAUGCAGAAGAACAUGACAACCUCCAGAAAGAAAAAUUCUGCGUGGGUACCCAUCACGAAUGACAGAAGAAAGAGAUUAUGUGGUACCUUGAAGUUCAUCACACUGGAUGGUCGACAUCCCUAACCCCCUCCUUCCCUGCCCAUUUCCCCUAUAUAACUGCCUCAAGAUUCCGUAUGAUUUGAAGAUGGUUCUUUAGGAAACUAGUCGACCAUCUUCCGAUUAUGCUAACUAAUCGUAUAAAUUUUCCUUUCUCAAC